rfam:Danio rerio chromosome 4, GRCz11 reference primary assembly.
GGCUCUAUGGUGUAAUGGUUAGCACUCUGGACUUCUGGAAUCCAGUGGUCCGAGUUCAAAUUUCAGUGGAACCU